rnacentral:rRNA from 1 species
AUUGAACGCUGGCGGCGUGCCUAAUACAUGCAAGUCGAGCGACUCGAUGGGAGCUUGCUCCCUGAGAUUAGCGGCGGACGGGUGAGUAACACGUGGGUAACCUGCCUGUAAGACUGGGAUAACUUCGGGAAACCGGAGCUAAUACCGGAUAAUUUCUUUUCUCGCAUGAGGAGAGAUGGAAAGAUGGUUCUGCUAUCACUUACAGAUUGACCCGCGGCGCAUUAGCUAGUUGGUGAGGUAACGGCCCACCAAGGCGACGAUCUGUAGCUGGUCUGAGAGGACGAUCAGCCACACUGGGACUGAGACACGGCCCAGACUCCGACGGGAGGCAGCAGUGGGGAAUCUGGCGCAAUGGGCGAAAGCCUGACGCAGCGACGCCGCGUGCGGGAAGAAGGCCUUCGGGUUGUAAACCGCUUUCAGGAGGGACGAAGCCACUCGGGUGAAUAGCCCAGAGGGUGACGGUACCUCCAGAAGAAGCCCCGGCUAACUACGUGCCAGCCGCCGCGGUAAGAC